rnacentral:rRNA from 1 species
AUUGAACGCUGGCGGAAUGCUUUACACAUGCAAGUCGAACGGCAGCACGGACUUCGGUCUGGUGGCGAGUGGCGAACGGGUGAGUAAUGUAUCGGAACGUGCCCAGUCGUGGGGGAUAACGUAGUGAAAAUUACGCUAAUACCGCAUACGAUCUAUGGAUGAAAGCGGGGGAUCGCAAGACCUCGCGCGAUUGGAGCGGCCGAUAUCAGAUUAGGUAGUUUGUGGGGUAAAGGCCCACCAAGCCAACGAUCUGUAGCUGGUCUGAGAGGACGACCAGCCACACUGGAACUGAGACACGGUCCAGACUCCUACGGGAGGCAGCAGUAGGGAAUUUUGGACAAUGGGCGAAAGCCUGAUUCAGCCAUUCCGCGUGCAGGAUGAAGGCCCUCGGGUUGUAAACUGCUCUUGUACAGAACGAAAAGGUUUCUACUAAUACUAGGAGCUCAUGACGGUACUGUAAGAAUAAGCACCGGCUAACUACGUGCCAGCCGCCGCGGUAA